UUCGGAGAGCUCGCGUUUUUAAAUUCUUACCAUAAGUGUAUGAAUACUUAGUAACUGAAAUAUUCGGCUAAAUUUGCGACCGUUACUCUGGACUCAAUCAACAGAAGUCACUGGUACUCUGCGCCAUUCCCUGCUGAUAGUUGGAUGUUUUUCUGAAGAAAGAAGAAGGUGUGAAGCCCAGAAGCUCGGAGCCCUAUACCAAGCAAACUCAACCAGGUGGCAAGACAGCAGUGGGCCUUGUUUCCCUCAACUCCAGACUUCAGACGACACAGAUUUUACUGCAAAGUGUUGAAGACCAGACCAACACAUACAUGCACAA